AGUUUGAUCAUGGCUCAGAACGAACGUUGAUGGCGUGCCUCAUACAUGCAAGUCGAGCGCGGUAGCAAUACCGAGCGGCGAACGGGUGAGUAACACGUAAGGAAUCUGCCCUGAAGCGGGGAAUAACUAUCCCAACGGAUAGCUAAUACCGCAUAAUGAUGGAGACGGCAUCGUCUCUUCUCAAAAGCCUUCGGGCACUUCAGGAAGACCUUGCGUCCCAUUAGCUUGUUGGCGGGGUAACGGCCCACCAAGGCUACGAUGGGUAUCCGGCCUGAGAGGGUGUACGGACACAUUGGGACUGAGAUACGGCCCAGACUCCUACGGGAGGCAGCAGUAGGGAAUUUUGCGCAAUGGAGGCAACUCUGACGCAGCAACGCCAUGUGUGGGAUGAAGCAUUUCGGUGUGUAAACCACUGUCAGCGGGGAAUAAACGGCAGCUUCGGGCUGCUUUGAAUGUACCCGCAAAGGAAGCCCCGGCUAACUUCGUGCCAGCAGCCGCGGUAAUACGAGGGGGGCAAAUGUUGUUCGGAAUCACUGGGCGUAAAGGGAGCGUAGGCGGGUUUUUAUGUUAGGUGUUUAAGCCCGGGGCCCAACCCCGGACCGGCACUUAAAACUGGGAAUCUUGAAUAGUGGAGAGGUCGGUGGA
rnacentral:rRNA from 1 species